rnacentral:lncRNA from 1 species
CUUUAUUGUUACACGUGUGAAAAUCUCCCAGCUUGUCAACGAGAUGUGUUCGCAGUUGUUGCCAAGUCUGGAACAAGUUGUUAUCAUCUUGUAACAAGGUUGACGAGGCCAACAGACUUGCAACAAGUUGUUCCAACAAGUCUGAUAUCGUCUGCACGUAACAAGUUGACGACAACAAGCUCGUGGCAACUUGUUACGAACAGCCUGUAUUAGUCUUGUUGCAACAACUUGUAGCAAGUCUGUUACCGUCAUCAACCUUGUAACAAGGUGAUAACAACUUGUUCCAGACUUGUCACAACAACUGGGAACAAGCAGUACGAACACAUCCUGAUAUCGGCUUCACAACAACCACAACUUGUUUGCAGAUCUCUAACAACUUGAGCGUUUCUGCGUUCAAUAAUAAUUUUAAUCGGUUAAAUAGCGAAGCUCUUUCCAACAUUUUCACUCGAGAUAGUACUUGAAAUAAUAAAAAAUGAACUUGAGUGUAAUGUCAGCAAACAUUCAUGGCUUGCAAAGUGUCGCUCGCGAAUAGGACAAAUUCGCUUUUAAAAAAAUGUAUUUCUUACAAAUAAUGUAGUAGUGAUAUCCAUUGGAUAAUGAAAUUAUCUGACUGCCGAAUAUAAUAUCCGGUACCAUUCUAUCCUAGGGGGGAGGGCAUUGCAAAAAUGAUGGGGGGGGGGGGAUUUUCAGGAAAUGAAAAACAAAAGUUAUUUGGAAAAU